GAAAUGCGAUAAGUAGUGUGAAUUGCAGAUUUUAGUGAAUCAUCGAAUUUUUGAACGCACAUUGCGCCCCUUGGUACUCCAUUGGGCAUGCCUGUUCGAGCGUCAUUUACCCAUUCAAGCUCUGCUUGGUGUUGGGCGUCUGUUCCGUUUAGCUGCGUGAACUCGCCCGAAAUCUAUUGGCAGCUCUCUUGCCAGCCUCCAGCGCAGCAGAAUUACAGCGCUCUGGUGGGUCUUGGGAAGGGUAGCAACCAGCAAGAUUGCUUUUACGCUUGACCUCGGAUCAGGUAGGGAUACCCGCUGAACUUAA
rnacentral:misc_RNA from 1 species